UAUAAUAAUAGUAACGUUCUACGAUAUUGAAAAGAUUCUUUAUUGAAGAAGAUACAGUGUACAGCUAGGAAAAUAGUGGCAAAUCGGACAAAAACCAAAGAUGAUCAUUUUUCUUAUACAUCCAAGUAGUAACAUCAACGUAAGGAGGUAAGGACAAAUGCGCCAACCAAGGAGA